UAGGGAAUCUUCGGCAAUGGGGGCAACCCUGACCGAGCAACGCCGCGUGAGUGAAGAAGGUUUUCGGAUCGUAAAGCUCUGUUGUAAGUCAAGAACGAGUGUGAGAGUGGAAAGUUCACACUGUGACGGUAGCUUACCAGAAAGGGACGGCUAACUACGUGCCAGCAGCCGCGGUAAUACGUAGGUCCCGAGCGUUGUCCGGAUUUAUUGGGCGUAAAGCGAGCGCAGGCGGUUUGAUAAGUCUGAAGUUAAAGGCUGUGGCUCAACCAUAGUUCGCUUUGGAAACUGUCAAACUUGAGUGCAGAAGGGGAGAGUGGAAUUCCAUGUGUAGCGGUGAAAUGCGUAGAUAUAUGGAGGAACACCGGUGGCGAAAGCGGCUCUCUGGUCUGUAACUGACGCUGAGGCUCGAAAGCGUGGGGAGCGAACAGGAUUAGAUACCCUGGUAGUCCACGCCGUAAACGAUGAGUGCUAGGUGUUGGGUCCUUUCUGGGAUUCAGUGCCGCAGCUAACGCAUUAAGCACUCCGCCUGGGGAGUACGACCGCAAGGUUG
rnacentral:rRNA from 1 species